rnacentral:lncRNA from 1 species
AUCUGCCAUAAGGCCAUCCACCAUAAUCCCAUCCUCCACAAUGUCAUCGUCACAAUGCCAUCCACCAUAAUGCCAUCCACCAUAAUGCUAUCUGCCAUAAGGGCCUUACCAGAGACAAGACAAUGCCAGUGCCAGGCCAAUGCUAGUACCAUGCCCUGAACCUCCACAACUGUGAGUUAAAUACAUCUCUUUUCCUUAAAAAGUAUCCAGGCUAAACUAUUUUAUUAGAGUAGCUAAAAACAGACAAAUACAACAGAUAAACAGAUAUUGAGAUUGUCAAAGACUUAAAAAUAUACACCUAUAUUCCAUGAAAUAAAGAUAAACACUACAAGGGAAUGAAAAGAGAGAGCUUCUCAGCACAAGAACAGAAACUACAAAAAAGAAACAAACAAAAGCUUCUGAACUGAAAAUUCCAACUGAAAUUUACAAUUCCUUGCACAGAUUCAACAACAAAAUAAAGAAGAUUCAAAAUAAAGAAUAGAUGAACAUGAAGAUAGACCAAUGGAAAUUAUCUAAUCUGAACAAUAGAGGUAACAAAAAUUGGGGGGGGAAGUCAAAGAGAUUUGGGGACUUGUAGAACAAUAGUAAAAAUUAUAAAACUUUUAUCAUUAAAGUCCCAAAAGGGCAGGAGAAAGAGAGUGGUACAGAAAAACAAAUUUAAACCAUAAUGACUGGAUACUUCCCAAAUUUGAUGUAGGACAUAAAUGUACAGAUUCAAAAAUUCCAGUCACAAGCAGAAGACAGCGAAUCACCCCGCUGCAGACAGGCAGGUCUGCCCACACCCCUACCUAGGUCCCCAGUCAGGCGGAACACAUACCGAAUCAGCCAGCUGCAGACAGGCAGGUCUGUGCACGCCCUACCAAGGUCCUGAGUCCCACGGAAGACACCGAAUCACCCCGCUGCAGACAGGCAGCCACCUAGUUCCACACUACAAAGACGCAGAGGACACCAGACCACCAGACCAAGGUCAGAGACAGAGGAUAUCAGAGAUUCAAAACAUGAGAAGGAUCUGAUACACCCUUCUGGCUUAAAGACAAAGGAAGACACAUGGCUAGAAGUGUAGGUGGCCUCUAGGAGCUGAGAAAGCAUCUAUGACAGCCACGCAGGAAAUGGUGGCCUCGUACUCUGGAGAUUCAGUGGAUUCAGCUCCCAGAUGAGAACUCGGUGCAGCCCAUACAGUGUUGAUUGCUUUGUGAACAGAACCAAGCCAUGCCAGACUUCUGAGCUCCAGAAAUGUGAACUAAUCCCAGGUGUUAUUUCAAGUUCCUAAAUGCAUGAUACGUUGUUACACAGGAGUAGAAAACUAACAUAAUCAUAUAUAGCUUUCCAAAUCCAUGCAGAUAAAUAUUUCUAAUUCUUUUUUAAGACUGCAUAUGUAUUACUUUGUCAUUACUUUAAUGCAUCAAAAUAUAUUCAAAUAUAUUCCUAUUUCUAGAAAUCCACCUGGCUUUUAUUUCUUGUUAUUUUUAAAUAAUCCAGAAAACAUCUUUAUGCAUUUGCCUUGAUAUAUCUAUCCUAUUUCCCCCCAUAAGACAGAUUGUUA